rnacentral:rRNA from 1 species
UACGAAGGGUGCAAGCGUUACUCGGAAUUACUGGGCGUAAAGCGUCCGCAGGUGGCUAUUCAAGUCUGCGGUCAAAGACUGGGGCUUAACCCUGGAAAGGCCGUGGAAACUGAAGAGCUAGAGUGCAGUAGGGGUAGAGGGAAUUCCCGGUGUAGCGGUGAAAUGCGUAGAGCUCGGGAAGAACAUCGGUGGCGAAAGCGCUCUGCUGGACUGCAACUGACACUCAGGGACGAAAGCUAGGGGAGCGAAUGGG